AAGGUCUAUAAAGGACUUCAAUGCCACUGGCUUUCAUAUGACAUCUAGUUCCACCUUUUCCAAGAUGCGUCAGAUAUAAAUUGAUAGAAUCAAUGGCUUAAUUUCUCUCUAUGGAAAUCUUCCUUGAAUUUUGGAAGCCAGCUUGAUGGCACAGUGUGGAGUGAGGAAGACUCGGUGGACAAAUCUGACUGGAAUACAAGUAGGCGUUGCAGAUGAAGACCUGGAACCAUGGUAGGAAGUGGGACAGGGAGCAUUUGGACAAGCUGUUCAAGAACUGAUCAUGCUCAUGUGUAUGGGAAAACAGAUGGAGGAAGAGAAAUUCCUGAAGAGCACAAGACUGUUGGGGCAAGUAACAAGCCUACUGAGAUGAGUUGCAGAUUUGAAGA